rnacentral:miRNA from 1 species
GACGUCGAAUAUCGACGUCAUAAACACCAAAGUUGUUCGUGUUUAUGACGUCGAAUAUCGACGUCAUCAACACCAAAGUUGUUCGUGUUUUUGACGUCGAAUAUCGACGUCAUAAACACCAAAGUUGAUGGUGUUUACGACGUCGAAUAUCGACGUCAUAAACACCAAAGUUGUUCGUGUUUAUGACGUCGAAUAUCGACGUCAUAAACACCAAAGUUGUUCGUGUUUAUGACGUCGAAUAUCGACGUC